GACAUAGGUCGCAAACGUUAUCCGGAAUUAUUGGGCGUAAAGGAUGCGUAGAUGGUUCAGUAAGUUACUGGUGGGAAAUCGAGGCUCAACCUCGUGGAAGUCAGUAAUACUGUUGAACUUGAGUGCAGGAGAGGUUAACGGAACUUUAUGUGGAGCGGUAAAAUGCGUAGAUAUAUAAAAAGAACAUCAAUAUGGCGAAGGCAGUUAACUAUUCAAUUCCUGACGUUGAGGCACGAAAAGCGUGGGGGAGCAAGACGG
rnacentral:rRNA from 1 species